AGUUAGCUCAGUUGGCAGAGCGCUCCACUGGAGAUAAAGAGGUCUUUGGUUCGAGCCCAGGGACCUC
rnacentral:tRNA from 1 species